ACUCAAAUGAAUUGACGGGGACCCGCACAAGCAGAGGAGCAUGUUGUUUAAUUCGAAGCAACGCGAAAAACCUUACCAAGGCUUGACAUUUAAUGCAUAAUCUAGAGAUAGAUGAAAUUAUAGCAAUAUAACAUUAAAACAGAUGGUGCAUGGUUGUCGUCAGCUCGUGUCGUGAGAUGUUGGGUUAAGUCCCGCAACGAGCGCAACCCUUAUCAUUAGUUGCCAAUAUUAAGUUAGGAACUCUAAUGAGACUGCCGUAGAUAAUACGGAGGAAGGUGGGGAUGACGUCAAAUCAUCAUGCCUCUUACGCCUUGGGCUACAAACGUGCUACAAUGGCCAUUACAAAGAGAUGCAAUACGGCAACGUGGAGCCAACCUCAAAAAAAUGGUCUCAGUUCGGACUGUGGGCUGCAACCCGCCCACACGAAGUUGGAUUUGCUAGUAAUCCCGAAUCAGCAUGUCGGGGUGAAUGCGUUCCCGGGUCUUGUACACACCGCCCGU
rnacentral:rRNA from 1 species